rnacentral:rRNA from 1 species
AGAGUUUGAUCCUGGCUCAGAACGAACGCUGGCGGCAGGCUUAACACAUGCAAGUCGAGCGCCCCGCAAGGGGAGCGGCAGACGGGUGAGUAACGCGUGGGAAUCUACCCAUCUCUACGGAAUAACGCAUGGAAACGUGUGCUAAUACCGUAUACGCCCUUAGGGGGAAAGAUUUAUCGGAGAUGGAUGAGCCCGCGUUGGAUUAGCUAGUUGGUGGGGUAAAGGCCUACCAAGGCGACGAUCCAUAGCUGGUCUGAGAGGAUGAUCAGCCACAUUGGGACUGAGACACGGCCCAAACUCCUACGGGAGGCAGCAGUGGGGAAUAUUGGACAAUGGGCGCAAGCCUGAUCCAGCCAUGCCGCGUGAGUGAUGAAGGCCUUAGGGUUGUAAAGCUCUUUCACCGGAGAAGAUAAUGACGGUAUCCGGAGAAGAAGCCCCGGCUAACUUCGUGCCAGCAGCCGCGGUAAUACGAAGGGGGCUAGCGUUGUUCGGAAUUACUGGGCGUAAAGCGCACGUAGGCGGAUCGAUCAGUCAGGGGUGAAAUCCCAGAGCUCAACUCUGGAACUGCCUUCG